rnacentral:rRNA from 1 species
ACGAACGCUGGCGGCGCGUCUUAAACAUGCAAGUCGAACGAGAACCCCAGUGCUUGCACAGGGGGGACAGUGGCGAACGGGUGAGUAACACGUGGAUAAUCUGCCCUUAAGUUGGGGACAACCUCGGGAAACCGGGGCUAAUACCGAAUAAUAUGGUACCUGCAUAAGCAGGAACUAUCAAAGGUGGGGACCUUCGGGCCUACCACUUAAGGAUGAGUCCGCGGCCCAUUAGCUUGUUGGUGGGGUAAUGGCCUACCAAGGCAACGAUGGGUAGCCGGCCUGAGAGGGUGAUCGGCCACAUUGGGACUGAGAUACGGCCCAGACUCCUACGGGAGGCAGCAGUUAAGAAUCUUGCGCAAUGGGGGAAACCCUGACGCAGCGACGCCGCGUGGAUGAUGAAGGCUUUCGGGUUGUAAAAUCCAGUAAGCAGGGAAGAAUAAGCAAUGGGUAAUAUCCAUUGUGAUGACGGUACCUGCCUAAAGCCCCGGCUAACUACGUGCCAGCAGCCGCGGUAAUACGUAUGGGGCGAGCGUUGUUCGGAAUUAUUGGGCGUAAAGGGCGUCUAGGCGGGAAAUUAAGUUGGAUGUGAAAGCCAUGGGCUCAACCCGUGAAUUGCAUCCAAAACUAAUUUUCUUGAGUCCGGGAGAGGAGAGCGGAAUUCCAGGUGUAGCGGUGAAAUGCGUAGAUAUCUGGAAGAACACCAGUGGCGAAGGCGGCUCUCUGGCCUAGGACUGACGCUGAAGCGCGAAAGCGUGGGGAGCGAACGGGAUUAGAUACCCCGGUAGUCCACGCCGUAAACGUUGUAUACUAAGUGUCAGUGGCUUGACCACUAGUGCCGACGCUAACGCAUUAAGUAUACCGCCUGGGGAGUACGCCCGCAAGGGUGAUACUCUAAGAAAUUGACGGGGUCCCGCACAAGCGGUGGAGCAUGUGGUUUAAUUCGAUGAUACGCGAAGAACCUUACCUGGGCUUGAACUGUACAUGACAGGUGUAGAGAUACACCCUUCUUCGGACAUGUAUAGAGGUGCUGCAUGGCUGUCGUCAGCUCGUGUCGUGAGAUGUUGGGUUAAGUCCCGCAACGAGCGCAACCCUUACCCUUUGUUGCCAUCAGGUUAAGCUGAGCACUCUAAGGGAACUGCCGGUGACAAACCGGAGGAAGGUGGGGAUGACGUCAAGUCAGCACGGCCCUUAUGUCCAGGGCUACACACGUGCUACAAUGGCCGGUACAAUGA